rnacentral:rRNA from 1 species
AGAUAGAAAAUAGGUGCCCGUACCGCAAACCGACACAGGUAGUCAAGAUGAGAAUUCUAAGGUGAGCGAGCGAACUCUCGUUAAGGAACUCGGCAAAAUGACCCCGUAACUUCGGGAGAAGGGGUGCUCUUUAGGGUUAACGCCCAGUAGAGCCGCAGUGAAUAGGCCCAAGCGACUGUUUAUCAAAAACACAGGUCUCUGCUAAACCGUAAGGUGAUGUAUAGGGGCUGACGCCUGCCCGGUGCUGGAAGGUUAAGAGGAGUGGUUAGCUUCUGCGAAGCUACGAAUCGAAGCCCCA